UGAAGAAGGAAGCAUGGUAAUGUGCACAAAAUUUGAUUUGGGUCUCUAGGCCUGCCUGCCCUCUCUAAUGCCUUUCCGUUUUGAUUUGGGGCAUGGUUCCACAGCAAAACG